rnacentral:misc_RNA from 1 species
GAUGAAGAACGCAGCGAAAUGCGAUACUUGGUGUGAAUUGCAGAAUCCCGUGAACCAUCGAGUCUUUGAACGCAAGUUGCGCCCGAAGCCACUAGGCCGAGGGCACGCCUGCCUGGGCGUCACACGUCGUUGCCCCCCCAUCUACUCCUUCGGGAUUGCGGGGGGGCGGAUGAUGGCCUCCCGUGCGCCUAGCCGCGCGGUUGGCAUAAAUACCAAGUCCUCGGCGACGCACGCCACGACAAUCGGUGGUUGCGAAACCUCGGUUGCCCGUCGUGUGCGUUCGUCGCGCAUCGAGGGCUCGAAAAAAUGCUCGGCUUCGGCUCGGCUUUCAACGCGACCCCAGGUCAGGCGGGGUUACCCGCUGAAUUUAAGCAUAUCAAUAAGCGGAGA